GGAGCACCCUUAUUUUGACACUUGUGGGUUGCAGUCUGUGAGCUCUAUUAUGUACCUGGAGCAAGAAGUUCAGUCAUUCAGCCAAUGAGAAGAGUGAAGCCAAAAUGACAGAAACUGACAUUCAAAAUCUAUGAAGGUCAUAGAAGGUUUCAUACUAUUUGCCCAGCUAAUUGCAGUCUUUUCUAAUAGACUAUAUUGCCAAUCAUUAUCAGUUCAUAAAAAGCACAUUUAGUAGUGUCUAAAUUGUCGUCAAAACAAGACAUUUUGGCACACUCCAUUCAGCCUUGUGUUAGCAGGGCAGAAAAAAAAACACUAGACUGGCACUGGAUGUCAAUUUCAGCCAUCUUUUGCUUCACUUUUUUUUAACACGAGUUCUUACUCCAGAUAUAUAUGGAGCUCAGUGGUUUCAGUAAGCAUUUCAUACAGAGCAGGAGAUGGCUGGUCAACUUCAGAAUUGUUGACAAUGAUAGGAAUAACAAAAUUGGCCUGCAAAUACGAAAUAACUGCACAUGAAAGGACUUAACAAAUGUUAGACCACCAGCCAGUUUGAAUGACCAGCAUCAGCUGCAAAACAGUGCUUAGUGAAAUUCACCUUCUACAACAAAUCAGAUCCUUCAGACUGGCUUUGGAAGGCUGUUACAUGGUUGAGUGCAAAUUAAUUCAAUUGAGUGUAAUUAACGAGCAUGCAUACAUGCAUGUGCUCUUAUUCAAUUUGUGUAGGAAAUUAUUUUUCUAAUUUUGUUGGGUUACAUAGACCCACCACGAUUUGGUUCUAUAGACUUCUACAAACUGUUAUUAAUAACCAUAGUAGGGGUUAAUUGUUGUGGCGGCUACGGGCUAUCGUAGAAUUAUUCAUGUAUUAAAUACAAAACUAAACAGAAA